CACCUCGAUGUCGGCUCAUCGCAUCCUGGGGCUGGAGCAGGUCCCAAGGGUACGGCUGUUCGCCGUUUAAAGCGGUACGCGAGCUGGGUUCAGAACGUCGUGAGACAGUUUGGUCCCUAUCUGUCGUGGGCGUAGGUUGCUUGAGAGGAUCUGACCCUAGUACGAGAGGACCGGGUUGGACGUACCGCUGGUGUACCAGUUGUCACGCCCGUGGCAUCGCUGGGUAGCUAUGUACGGAAUGGAUAACCGCUGAAAGCAUCUAAGUGGGAAACCAGCCUCAAGACCAGGCAACCAUUGAGACUCGUUGAAGACUACAACGUUGAUAGGCUGCAGGUGAAUGCCGAGCA
rnacentral:rRNA from 1 species